rnacentral:rRNA from 1 species
AGAGUUUGAUCAUGGCUCAGGAUGAACGCUGGCGGCGCGCCUAACACAUGCAAGUCGAACGGUUAAAGCACCUUCGGGUGUGUAUAAAGUGGCGAACGGCUGAGUAACACGUGGGCAACCUACCCCUCACUCCGGGACAGCCUCGGGAAACUGGGAGUAAUACCGGAUACUCCGUGAUCAUCGCAUGGUGAUCACGGGAAAGCUCCGACGGUGAGGGAUGGGCCCGCGGCCUGUUAGCUUGUUGGUGGGGUAACGGCCUACCAAGGCAAUUAUGGGUAGCUGGGUUGAGAGACCGACCAGCCAGAUUGGGACUGAGACACGGCCCAGACUCCUACGGGAGGCAGCAGUGGGGAAUCUUGCACAAUGGACGCAAGUCUGAUGCAGCGACGCCGCGUGCGGGAUGAAGGCCUUCGGGUUGUAAACCGCUUUCAGUAGGGACGAGGCCGCAAGGUGACGGUACCUACAGAAGAAGCCCCGGCUAACUACGUGCCAGCAGCCGCGGUAAUACGUAGGGGGCAAGCGUUAUCCGGAUUCAUUGGGCGUAAAGCGCGUGUAGGCGGUCUGUUAGGUCGGGAGUUAAAUCCGGGGGCUCAACCCCCGUCCGCUCCCGAUACCGGCAGACUUGAGUUCGGUAGGGGAAAGUGGAAUUCCAAGUGUAGCGGUGGAAUGCGCAGAUAUUUGGAAGAACACCGGUGGCGAAGGCGGCUUUCUGGGCCGUAACUGACGCUGAGACGCGAAAGCUAGGGGAGCGAACAGGAUUAGAUACCCUGGUAGUCCUAGCCGUAAACGAUGGACACUAGGUGUGGGGAGAUGAUCUCUCCGUGCCGCAGCUAACGCAUUAAGUGUCCCGCCUGGGGAGUACGGGCCGCAAGGCUAAAACUCAAAGGAAUUGACGGGGGCC